GUAGCAUUUGAAAUUCUGGGAUUGUUACAAUUUUAGAAGUAAAACAACAUUGAAUUCAACGACAAAAUCAAUUAGUACAAUUUCGAGAAUAAAACCCACAGAAAUUAUAUUUAAUAACAAACACUUCCGGCACCUAUUAGUUCGUAUAAAGCAGUCGUUGUUUGUCCUGUGAUCGAGUGGCCAUGGAGAACCGAAUGGUGGGCGGCAAGUACCGGGCGAUCGAGCGAAUCGGUGGGGGAGCCUUUGGCGAGGUAUACAGUGGCAUUUGCGUGGAGGAUAACACCGAGGUGGCCAUCAAGAUUGAGCCACACGAUUCGAAGAGCCCGCAGCUGGCGAACGAGGCCAAAGUGUGCCAGAAGUUGGGCGACAGUCCAGGGUUUCCCACCUUCUUUUACUACGGCAGCGAGCAGAACUUCAAGGUCAUGGUGGUAGAGCCCCUGGGACCAUCGCUGUACGAUCUCUACCUCAUGUGCAGCCGUCACUUUUCCCUGAAGACCAUCCUGAUGCUCGCCAGCCAGAUGAUGGCACGGCUGGAGGCCAUCCACGCCAUCGGAUACAUCCAUCGCGACGUCAAGCCUGAGAACUUCCUGAUGGGACGGGGCGACAAGCGCAACAAGGUGUUUCUGAUCGACUUUGGAAUGUCGCAUCCUUACAGGGAUUUCGCCACGAAGAAGCAUAUUAACUUUUCCCCGACGUGCUCUAUAGUUGGCACCUUGCGCUUUUUAUCCGUCCGUGCCCAGAACGGCAACGAGCAGUCGCGUCGCGAUGACCUGGAGUCCCUCAUGUACUGCCUGAUAUACUUCUAUAAGGGCCUGCCGUGGAUCGGGCUCUCCUUCGCCAACAACAAGCAGAAGACUGAGAUGGUCGCAGAGAUGAAGAGGAGCACGAAGAUCGACGAUCUGUGCGGCGGGCUUCCACCCAUGAUCACUAUGCUCACGAAAUACAUCCGCAACCUGCGCUUCGAGGACGAACCCGACUACGUGUACAUGCGUAUGAUGCUCCGCGUCCUCUCUCUGGAUCUGGGCUACGUGUACGACCUCAGAUUCGAUUGGACCCAGCUGGAGGAGCAGCAGAACAGAGACCAUGAGUCAACGGAACCAGAAUCGACGGUACAGUCGUCCUCUGUCUACAGGACUUGCCUUACCAGCCCAGAUGUAGGUGUUUGACUAUUGAACGCAGGGUUUGAAUCGAUUCCGGAACAUUAAACACAGAUUACGAUUCAACUUUGUUUUGUUUUGAGAGAAGAAGUUUUCAAGGACACAUUCCCGUUUGUCUUAGGGCUAGCAAUGGGUUUCCACACAAUAAAAUUCAAUACAACUAAAAAAUUAGUGUACUAUCGGAAGCGCUGUGAGGCGCGGCAAGGGCCGCGGCACUACCCGGCCAGUGUAUAAGAGCACGCCCAAUCUCUUUCUCUCUUUCUCGCCGAUGUUUUUGAAUUCUGCUCGCAGGUUUCAUGAGAGAUGGGAAAAAAUUGAGAGAGCAAGAGUGGAACCACCACCACUAGUUAUGCUAAUCAGCAGCAGACGUUAUUACUCGCUCUCCUCCGCCAGAGGGCGAACACUGCACGAGGAACAGUGUGUGGGAGUGAUGGAGAGGGAAAGUAAGCACAUGGAAGGAGAGUAGCCACUGCAAUUUCUUUUGUUUCGAUCUGAUCCAGCAAAGAUUCAGCAUUCUUCUCGAUAAGGUAAUUUUCUAUGAUUCUCCGUUUAGAUGCCAUAGAUAUUAAUUCUCUGGGGUGGCGGAAGGAGUCGGGGCUAAAUGUUGAUGUACACUUGUAACAGCGUGGUUCACAGGAGUCUACAUCCAAAAUUUGGUUGCUCUGGCUCUUGUGGUCUCUGAGAUCUAAGAAGACAUAGUUAUAUCAAUAGAUGAUGAUGCUGAUGAAGUGCGGCUUUAGUGGGGCCCGGAAACGCUUCCUUUUGGAGUGAGACUUUUAGGCCUUUCAUUGGAAAUAUCCCCAAGAAAUGUCUCUCCUUUCCAAUAGUGUGGCUAGACUCCUACUAGCCCAUAAUACUACUUCUUUGAUUACAAAUAAAGUGACUAGAGCUGCUCCAUUCACAAGUUGCUGCCAAAAAAAUAAAUAGAGCAAAGCUUGACAGGCAGAACCAUGUGUUAAAUGUCAAAAUCCGUACAAGUACCAAAUUAAUUUCCAAAUAAAAAAGGCCAGAGCUCAGUAGAUUGCAAUUCAGUCGGCGAGCGAGCUGUGGCUAAAAAAAAAAAAAAUUCAGACGAAACCGAGA